rnacentral:rRNA from 1 species
ACUUUAUACGAGUUAUGGUUGUUUAUUAGAAUUUUAACUAAAAUUUGAAGGGCUGUGUUCGUAUUUUGUUGGGGAGACAUUGAUAUAAUUUGUAACUGUCUAAUUAAAGGGUAUAGUAAUUAUUAGAAUUUGAUCCUCCUGUGGGGAUAGAAAGAAUAAGUU